rnacentral:rRNA from 1 species
CGGACAGUGUCUGGUGGGUAGUUUGACUGGGGCGGUCUCCUCCUAAAGAGUAACGGAGGAGCACGAAGGUUGGCUAAUCCUGGUCGGACAUCAGGAGGUUAGUGCAAUGGCAUAAGCCAGCUUGACUGCGAGCGUGACGGCGCGAGCAGGUGCGAAAGCAGGUCAUAGUGAUCCGGUGGUUCUGAAUGGAAGGGCCAUCGCUCAACGGAUAAAAGGUACUCCGGGGAUAACAGGCUGAUACCGCCCAAGAGUUCAUAUCGACGGCGGUGUUUGGCACCUCGAUGUCGGCUCAUCACAUCCUGGGGCUGAAGUAGGUCCCAAGGGUAUGGCUGUUCGCCAUUUAAAGUGGUACGCGAGCUGGGUUUAGAACGUCGUGAGACAGUUCGGUCCCUAUCUGCCGUGGGCGCUGGAGAACUGAGGGGGGCUGCUCCUAGUACGAGAGGACCGGAGUGGACGCAUCACUGGUGUUCGGGUUGUCAUGCCAAUGGCACUGCCCGGUAGCUAAAUGCGGAAGAGAUAAGUGCUGAAAGCAUCUAAGCACGAAACUUGCCCCGAGAUGAGUUCUCCCUGACUCCUUGAGAGUCCUGAAGGAACGUUGAAGACGACGACGUUGAUAGGCCGGGUGUGUAAGCGCAGCGAUGCGUUGAGCUAACCGGUACUAAUGAACCGUGAGGCUUAACCUUACAACGCCGAAG